rnacentral:rRNA from 1 species
CUCACCAGGUCAGGACACGGUAAGGAUUGACGACUGAAGGCUCUUUCUCGAUUCCGUGGAAAGUGGUGCAUGGCCGUUUUUGGUUGGUGGAUCGAUCCGUCUGGUUAAUUCCGUUAACGAACGAGACCUCGGCACUCCGAAUAGCGCGGCGGACGUCGCGGGCCUCCGGGGCCGUCUUCCGCACGAGCUUCUUAGAGGGGACCGUCCCCCGCCGGGGAAGGAGGUGCGAGGCAACGACAGGUCUGUGAUGCCCUUAGAUGUUCUGGGCCGCACGCGCAUUACACUGACGCGUCCAACGGGUGACUCCCGACCCGAAGGGGCCGGGGAAUCCGCAAGGCGCGUCGUGAUGGGGAUUGAACGUUGCAAUUGUUGUUCACGAACGAGGAAUUCCUAGUAGGCGCGGGUCAUCAACCCGCGCCGAUUACGUCCCUGC